GUCAUAAUUCCAUGCUGCCCUGAGGAUCUUUCUGCCUUCCUUAUAUAAUCCAAUGUUUGUUUACUCUCAUUGCUCUGGAGAUGAUGCUGCAAUGCCUAGGAACAUCUACCCACAGGGAGUGCUGUUCCAGCAAGAAAAGACUAUCCAUGGAAAUCCUCUUAGCAUACAAGUGUCUCAAAAGGCAGAGACAGGAAUGCAAUAGCACACAAGGAAGCUCAUCCAUAGUGACUCUGCCUCCAGUGAGGACCUGAGAUUUAUACUUGCAUUGACUAAAGGCUGCUACAGAAUGAACGGAGAUGAAGAGAGGGAGAAAGUGUCACGUGGCAACCCAUGGAUGGACCCAGUUCAGCAAGGUCCUGAUGGAGAAGAUGAACUUUCAGCAUGGUUUAUACCAGACUCAGUGAAGCUGUUCAUAACCAGAUCUGUGCCAGCAAACAAAACAAUAGGCAGGAUAAGA